CUUCCGCGGACUUCGUGGCCAUUGUCAGAGGGUUGCAGUUGAAGACGUCUGCGCGCAGACCUUAAUUUCGGAUAUCAAGAAGAAGGUCGAGACAGCACUGGGCAGGCCGGCAACAGAGC
rnacentral:SRP_RNA from 1 species